rnacentral:rRNA from 1 species
UACGGAGGGGGCUAGCGUUGUUCGGAAUUACUGGGCGUAAAGCGCACGUAGGCGGCUUGAAAAGUUGGGGGUGAAAGCCCGGAGCUCAACUCCGGAAUUGCCUUCAAAACUCUUAAGCUAGAGUUCGGAAGAGGAGAGUGGAAUUCCCAGUGUAGAGGUGAAAUUCGUAGAUAUUGUGAGGAACAUCAGUUGCGAAGGCGGCUUUCUGGCCUGAUCCUGACGCUGAGGCGCGAAAGUGUGGGGAGCAAACGGGAUUAGAAACCCGAGUAGU